rnacentral:rRNA from 1 species
GUGGGGAAUUUUGGACAAUGGGCGCAAGCCUGAUCCAGCAAUGCCGCGUGCAGGAAGAAGGCCUUCGGGUUGUAAACUGCUUUUGUACGGAACGAAAAGGUCUGGGUUAAUACCCUGGGCUCAUGACGGUACCGUAAGAAUAAGCACCGGCUAACUACGUGCCAGCAGCCGCGGUAAUACGUAGGGUGCGAGCGUUAAUCGGAAUUACUGGGCGUAAAGCGUGCGCAGGCGGUUUUGUAAGACAGGCGUGAAAUCCCCGGGCUCAACCUGGGAAUGGCGCUUGUGACUGCAAAGCUGGAGUGCGGCAGAGGGGGAUGGAAUUCCGCGUGUAGCAGUGAAAUGCGUAGAUAUGCGGAGGAACACCGAUGGCGAAGGCAAUCCCCUGGGCCUGCACUGACGCUCAUGCACGAAAGCGUGGGGAGCAAACAGGAUUAGAUACCCUAGUAGUCC